GCCUGCCCAGUGAUAACAUUUUUAACGGCCGCGGUAUCCUAACCGUGCAAAGGUAGCGCAAUCACUUGUUCUUUAAAUAAGGACUAGUAUGAAUGGCGACAUGAGGAUCAUCUUGUCUCUCGCGGUAAGUCAAUGAAACUGAUCUCCCAGUCCAAAAGCUGAGAUAUACCCACAAGACGAGAAGACCCUGUGGAGCUUAAAAUUGUACCUCAUAAAAACUGAGCUUGCACUUUUCGGUUGGGGCGACCUUGGAGCAAAAGAAAACCUCCAAAAAUCUUAAAUCUAGGCCACCGCGCCGCAAGUCAUAAACCACUUGACCCAAUAUAAUUGAUCAACGAACCAAGUUACCCCAGGGAUAACAGCGCAAUCUUCUUCUAGAGUCCCUAUCGACAAGAAGGUUUACGACCUCGAUGUUGGAUCCGGAUACCCAAAUGGUGCAGCCGCUAUUAAAGGUUCGUUUGUUCAACGAUUAAUAAUCCCACGUGAUCUGAGUUCAGACCGG
rnacentral:rRNA from 1 species